UUGGGCGUAAGCGCGCGCAGGCGGUUUCUUAAGUCUGAUGUGAAAGCCCCCGGCUCAACCGGGGAGGGUCAUUGGAAACUGGGGAACUUGAGUGCAGAAGAGGAGAGUGGAAUUCCACGUGUAGCGGUGAAAUGCGUAGAGAUGUGGAGGAACACCAGUGGCGAAGGCGACUCUCUGGUCUGUAACUGACGCUGAGGCGCGAAAGCGUGGGGAGCGAACAGGAUUAGAUACCCUGGUAGUCCACGCCGUAGACGAUGAGUGCUAACUGUUAGAGGGUUUCCGCCCUUUAGUGCUGCAACAAACGCGUUAAGCACUCCGCCUGGGGAGUAGGAUCGCAAGACUG
rnacentral:rRNA from 1 species